AUUGAACGCUGGCGGCAUGCCUUACACAUGCAAGUCGAACGGCAGCGCGGGAGCAAUCCUGGCGGCGAGUGGCGAACGGGUGAGUAAUAUAUCGGAACGUGCCCAGUAGUGGGGGAUAGCCCGGCGAAAGCCGGAUUAAUACCGCAUGAGACCUGAGGGUGAAAGCGGGGAUCGCAAGACCUCGCGCUAUUGGAGCGGCCGAUAUCAGAUUAGCUAGUUGGUGGGGUAAAGGCCUACCAAGGCAACGAUCUGUAGUUGGUCUGAGAGGACGACCAGCCACACUGGGACUGAGACACGGCCCAGACUCCUACGGGAGGCAGCAGUGGGGAAUUUUGGACAAUGGGCGCAAGCCUGAUCCAGCAAUG
rnacentral:rRNA from 1 species